CGGACGUACUCGAGUGGCGAACGGGUGAGUAACACGUGGGUGAUCUGCCCUGCACUCUGGGAUAAGCCUGGGAAACUGGGUCUAAUACCGGAUAGGACCGCACUUUAGUGUGUGUGGUGGAAAGUUUUUUCGGUGUAGGAUGAGCCCGCGGCCUAUCAGCUUGUUGGUGGGGUAAUGGCCUACCAAGGCGGCGACGGGUAGCCGGACUGAGAGGUUGGUCGGCCACAUUGGGACUGAGAUACGGCCCAG
rnacentral:rRNA from 1 species